rnacentral:rRNA from 1 species
UGCUUUACACAUGCAAGUCGAACGGAGAUAAGGAGCUUGCUCCUUAUUUUAGUGGCGAACGGGUGAGUAAUAUAUCGGAACAUAUCCGGAAGUGGGGGAUAACGUAGCGAAAGUUACGCUAAUACCGCAUAUGCCCUGAGGGGGAAAGGGGGGGAUCGCAAGACCUCUCGCUUUCGGAGUGGCCGAUACCGGAUUAGCUAGUUGGUGAGGUAAAGGCCUACCAAGGCGACGAUCCAUAGCUGGUCUGAGAGGAUGAUCAGCCACACUGGGACUGAGACACGGCCCAGACUCCUACGGGAGGCAGCAGUGGGGAAUAUUGGACAAUGGGCGAAAGCCUGAUCCAGCAAUACCGCGUGUGUGAAGAAGGCCUGAGGGUUGUAAAGCGC